UACGGGGGGAGCAAGCGUUUGUUCGGAUUUCUGGGCGUAAAGGGCGCGUAGGCGGUCGUGACAAGUCACUUGUGAAAUCUCCGGGCUUAACUCGGAACGGUCAAGUGAUACUGUCGGACUAGAGUGCGGGAGAGGCGAGUGGAAUUCCUGGUGUAGCGGUGAAAUGCGUAGAUAUCAGGAAGAACACCGGUGGCGAAAGCGCUCUGCUAGGCCGCAACUGACACUGAGGGACGAAAGCUAGGGGAGCGAAUGGG
rnacentral:rRNA from 1 species